rnacentral:rRNA from 1 species
AUUGAACGCUGGCGGCAGGCCUAACACAUGCAAGUCGAGCGGAUGAAGGGAGCUUACUCUUGGAUUCAGCGGCGGACGGGUGAGUAAUGCCUAGGAAUCUGCCUGGUAGUGGGGGAUAACGUCCGGAAACGGGCGCUAAUACCGCAUACGUCCUGAGGGAGAAAGUGGGGGAUCUUAGGACCUCACGCUAUCAGAUGAGCCUAGGUCGGAUUAGCUAGUUGGUGGGGUAAAGGCCUACCAAGGCGACGAUCCGUAACUGGUCUGAGAGGAUGAUCAGUCACACUGGAACUGAGACACGGUCCAGACUCCUACGGGAGGCAGCAGUGGGGAAUAUUGGACAAUGGGCGAAAGCCUGAUCCAGCCAUGCCGCGUGUGUGAAGAAGGUCUUCGGAUUGUAAAGCACUUUAAGUUGGGAGGAAGGGCAGUAAGUUAAUACCUUGCUGUUUUGACGUUACCAACAGAAUAAGCACCGGCUAACUUCGUG